rnacentral:lncRNA from 1 species
CCCGACCAUGCCCAUUGAGAAGCCCUAGCAAGAAGCAAUUUCAAUUACAAGAAUACUCUCUCCACCCUUUAGCCUCUUUUUUCUAAACUCCUAGGCCCCAUUUGGUUCAUGGGAUAGGAGACUUGGGGAUGGGAAAUCAAUUACUUUCUCAUGUUUGGUAAGUCCAGACAUGUGAAAUCGUUGUCUAGCCCAUGGGAAAGUAGGAGGGAAAGUGAAGCCAUCCUCCCAACUUGGGUUUUGUUUUCCCUCCUCAUGGGAAAGUUUGGGAAAAUGAGCCAAUAUUAAAUAAAAAAAUUUCAUGAAUAUUUUGUCCCCAUUAACAAUUUAGAAUUACUAUAUAUCAUUAAAUGUAUUUUUUUAUUUGAUUUAAUAUGGGCAUAAUUGAAAAUUUAUACAAACUUUAUUUUCCAUUCCUACUCAAAACAAACACAGGAAAGGAAAUAAAGUGAUAUUUCCUGGUUACUUUCCUAGCAUUACCAAACGUGGGAAAAGAAUAUUUCAUUUCUCAUCCUUUCGAAAAUGACAUGGAAAAUAAUUUCCCUUCAAAUUCAUUCCGUGAACCAAAUGGGGUCCUAGUUCUUAAUCUAUCUCUUUCAUCAUUACUUG